rnacentral:tRNA from 1 species
UCGGGGAUCGUUCAACGGGAGGACUGAGGAUUCUGGCUCCUCAAAUCCAGGUUCGAAUCCUGGUCCCCGAACUA